rnacentral:SRP_RNA from 1 species
GCCAGGCACAGAGGUGCGUGCCUAUAGUCCCCUGGGAGGCUGAGGUGGGAGGAUCUCUUGAGUCCAGGAGUUCUGGGCUGUAGUAUGCUAUGCCAAUCAGGCGUCCACACUAAGUUCGGCAUCAAUAUGAUGACCUCCCAGGAGCAGGGGACCACCAGGUUGCCUAAGGAGGGGUGAACCGGUUCAGGUCGGAAAUGGAGCAGGUCAAAACUCCUGUGCUGAUCAGUAGUGGGAUCACGCCUGUGAAUAGCCACUGCACUCCAGCCUGGGCAACAUAGCAAGACCCCGUCUUU